CACGUAGGGCGCAAGCGUUGUCCGGAAUUAUUGGGCGUAAAGAGCUCGUAGGUGGUUUGUUACGUCUGCUGUGAAAACCUAGGGCUUAACCCUGGGCUUGCAGUGGAUACGGGCAGACUAGAGGUAGGUAGGGGAGAAUGGAAUUCCUGGUGUAGCGGUGAAAUGCGCAGAUAUCAGGAGGAACACCGGUGGCGAAGGCGGUUCUCUGGGCCUUACCUGACACUGAGGAAGCGAAAGGCGUGGGAGCGA
rnacentral:rRNA from 1 species